CCUACGGUAGGCAGCCGUCGGGCAUAUUGCGCACUGGAGGCAACUCUGACGCAGUGACGCCGCGUGAAUGAAGCAGGUAUUCGGAUUGUCCAAUGCUUUAUACAGGGAAGAAAAACGACAGUACCUUUAGCUUAAGCUCAGGCUAAAUACGUAACAGCAGCCGCGGUAAUACGUAGGGAGCAAGCGUUAUCCGGAAGUAUUGGGUGUAAAAGGUGCGUAGACGUAGAAGGAAGUUAGUUGUGAAAUCCCUCGGCUUAACUGAGGAAUUGCAACUAAGACUACUUACCUUGAGUACUGGAGAGGAAAGUGGAAUUCCUAGUGUAGCGGUGAAAGGCGUAGAGAGUAGGAGGAACACCGGUGGCGAAGGCGACUGUCUGGACAGUAACUGACGUGGAGGCACGAAAGUGUGGGGAGCAAACAGGAUUAGAGACCCCAGUAGUC
rnacentral:rRNA from 1 species